rnacentral:rRNA from 1 species
CACGUAGUUAGCCGGGGCUUCUUAGUCAGGUACCGUCUGGCGACCCAAAGGUCGCUAUUUCUUCCCUGCUGAUAGAGCUUUACAUACCGAAAUACUUCUUCACUCACGCGGCGUCGCUGCAUCAGGGUUUCCCCCAUUGUGCAAUAUUCCCCACUGCUGCCUCCCGUAGGAGUCUGGGCCAUAUCUCAGUCCCAAUGUGGCCGGCCAACCUCUCAGUCCGGCUACUGAUCGUCGCCUUGGUAGGCCGUUACCCUACCAACUAGCUAAUCAGACGCGAGGCCAUCUCUCAGCGAUAAAUCUUUGGUACCAGUACCAUGCGAUACCCGUACGUUAUGCGGUAUUAGCAGUCGUUUCCAACUGUUGUCCCCCUCUGAAAGGCAGGUUCCUCACGCGUUACUCACCCGUCCGCCACUAAGUAGUCCUCUCCAUUGACCGAAAUCUCUUUCGAGGGUACUCCGUUCGACUUGCAUGUGUUAAGCACGCCGCCAGCGUUCGUCCUGAGCCAGGAUA